CAAUAGCCACCAGGGAAACAGAGGCGUCAGUCAAUGUUUAUAACCGAAGGCGGAGCCACAAGUUAGAGACUGGAGGUAACUCCCGAGUAUUAAAAAAAGGCAGAGCGUUUAUGAAGUAGCAGGAGAGGACGGCAAGAGCAGACAGACUAUACAGGAGCAUUUCUCCCAACACCACCCCAACCCCCGCCUCCUGCCGGUGGACGCCGAAAGGUUGGGGUCGGGGGGGAAAGGACAGUCAAUACAGUGUGGAACCGGAGGAACUGACAGCAGUGCACCGAUUUUCAAGAAAAUCCAAAUCAGUGACAUUUCACUCAUUCUCCACUUUUGUUUGGAUGCCAGCACGUGGGAGAGGAACACUUCACUGCUUUUCAUCCGGUGUUAACAUUCAAGAUGGCACAUAACAGUGCUUAUGGUUAACUCCUACAAAUCUGAAAGGAAGACCAGUGGUCAGUUUCUCAAAGACUAGAGUGAAUUAUGGCCAUUUUUGUAUGUAGACUUAUGCCUGUCAUCAUGAACUGGAUGACGCUCCAAAAUUAAUUUCUUUGGAUGCCCCUACAAUCCCUAUGUCAGGCAGACUUUCAUCUACUUGCCCAGGCUGGAGUUAUUAUAUUCAAGCCUGGAAGAUGAAACAAAAGCAGUGUACCAGCAUUGCUUCUCACUUUAAAAAGAUGUCACCACACCGUUCAAAAUACAUGGGAAUUCUCUCUUGUGACUCAGCCAAUUUCUGCCCUUCAACCAACACUAAAAAGCAGAUUAUCUGAUUAUCAAGUUGAUGCCUGAAAAUUGGCUGUUACAUUUUCCACAUUAAGAACAAUCCACAUUAGUGGUAAAGCACUUUGAGACACCUGCAGUCACUAAAGGUGCUAAAUAAAUCCAAGCUUUUCCUUGCACCUCUGUCUUAAAGAUCUCCAAAAAAUAAUACCUUGAAACCAUACUAUACUUGAGUAUAAAUGGCCUCUCAGUUUUGUAUAAUGUCCAUUACAAUCUUUGCAAAUUUUUUUUAGUUUUAAAAAUAUUUAGCUUUAAUCCAAAAUACAAAUAUAGUUAGCUAUUUCUCAGCAUAACGAAACACAUACAAUUUAACAAUAAGAUGCUGAACACAUUGAAACAUGCUCGGCCAACCAAAUAUAUCCUGCAGUCGUACGGUACUGGGGGAUUAAAAAGCAUCCUGGAGAACAGUCAAGUUAAGCAGCUGUUACCUUUUUAAAAACAAAAGAAUGAAGAGAACAGCCUUUUUGGAAGGCUCUUCCACUUUGUGGAAAACCGGCAGGAUCAAUAGUACAACUGAUUUUUAAGACAAUGUUAUAGCAGUGCUGACUGAUUUCUCUUUUACUGAUUGUAUUGAUUAUUCUCAGAUUUUGCCAUUAGUACAGAUCAGCUCAUUUAACUUGUUAAAACUUCUGUAAACAACAAACACGUUCACGUUGGCAGUUCCCCAAACUUUUUUCACAUCUUAUGAGAAUAUGAACUCUUAACUUUUUGGCUUGCAUUCGGUAGUGUCUAACGUAGUCUCCAGCAUAACAAUAAAAAUGUCAAAUCCCCCUCCUAAACAUCCACCAAUCAAGACAAGUUUUUUUAAAAUCCUCCAGCUCUACUUCAUUAUCCUGAAGAUGAACAGAAGAAUGGUGGUAAAAAUUGAGAUAUCCCAAAAAUGUACAUAGCUUUAUCAAUUUAGACUCCCUUUCCUCAAGCUGCAAGAAGUGUGCAGAUGCAGUUUGGAGACAAAAAGGAGCUUUGGUGCAAGGUAUGCAUUAUUCACAAUGUUUGAUUUGUCAUUCUGAUUAGUUUUGUCUAAGAAUUGUACUUGUACUUAGAUUGUCUAAAAUAUUAAGCUAACCAGAGCACUCUAAUGUACCAUAUGGUGUAAAGUUAGGUUUGAACAAUUAAACUAAAAAAUAAUAAUUGUAGCAGGCUAAAUUCUGAAAUAAUCCAAUUGCUACACUACUCCUUUUGUAAAAUUCAGUAAAUUCUCACUGUGAAUUUAACAGGGUCGCUCCAAAGGGAUUUAUUAUUUAACAUUAUAAAACAGAAUCAAUCUGAAGACAGAUCAAUAAUUGGAUUAAACCUGCCCAGUCAAUAAGUGCACAGCUUUAGUGGAGUUUUAAUAUCCAUUACAACAUCCCUAAUUGUCAAAACCACAAAGCAACAGUUGUCUAAUUUUAGAAUGGAGCACAGCACCUUGGGAUAUUCAGCUAGCUCUGUUUUUACAGAUGAUGAACAUGUGCUCAAGGCUUACUACGAUGCAAAGAAAAUAGUGUGUAUGGGAUACAGCAGAUUGAUGGAAUGCAAAAUUACCUGCUACAAUUGGUCUGUCAUAUCAUCUGCUAAACAAGAGACUGUUGAAAAUGCCUUGAAGUCAACGUAUUCAACCCGUUUUCUUUAGAUAAAUGAAAUAUUUAAAGCAAUAAUCAAUACACAGGCAAAACAUCAAUGAUACUAAGCUUUAUUUUAUCCCAUAUGAAGUCAAAUAUAACCUGAAUGGAGGAGGAUACAGUCCAUUGUAGUGCUGCAAUUGCACAUUAAAGUAUGUAUUAACCCA